rnacentral:rRNA from 1 species
CGUAGGGUGCGAGCGUUGUCCGGAAUUACUGGGCGUAAAGAGCUUGUAGGCGGUUCGUCGCGUCGUUCGUGAAAACUUGGGGCUCAACCCCAAGCUUGCGGGCGAUACGGGCGGACUAGAGUACUUCAGGGGAGACUGGAAUUCCUGGUGUAGCGGUGAAAUGCGCAGAUAUCAGGAGGAACACCGGUGGCGAAGGCGGGUCUCUGGGAAGUAACUGACGCUGAGAAGCGAAAGCGUGGGUAGCGAACAGGAUUAGAUACCCUGGUAGUCCACGCCGUAAACGGUGGGUACUAGGUGUGGGUCUCCUUCCACGGGAUCCGUGCCGUAGCUAACGCAUUAAGUACCCCGCCUGGGGAGUACGGCCGCAAGGCUA